AAAGCUGUCUUCUUUCUCGCUUUCUUUCAAAAGAAGAUUCGAGUGAGUGAGAAAAGAGAGAGCAAGGUUGAGAGAGUGAGAACGAAGAAGAGUCUGGUGCAGUUUGGGAACUGAAGUAGGAGAAGUUGGAAUAGCAGCUGGUUUCGUCUGCAAUUUUUAGAACUUAAGACAAGAGGAAGUAGCUGCGAGCCAGGAAACAGACCCGAGGCUUGAGAGUAAAUUACUUGGAUAAUUGGAGUUGUUGGUCAAGGAACGAACAAGGGAUCUUAGGGAGUUAACGUGAAGAUUUUUGUGAUUGUAAAUCCUUUAGUUUCAUAUUAUGGUUGAAACUUUUGCAUUGAACUUGGUAUUGUAAAAGAUUUGAGCUUUUGGUUUUGGUUUAUCAAAAUGUUAUCUCUAAAGUUAAUGUAAGUGAGUGAGUCAUGACGAGAGCCAAACAGGCGAUCCGCUAACUUUUAGAGUAUGUCCUAGGUGAAGGUGGGGUCGUCACAAGAAUGUUCUUAACCUCAGAAGUUGCAUCACUUAUGCUUAAUUGUUGAUCAAACAUAGAAGUUGCAUCACAUGUGAUUAAUCAUCGAUCAACUCUUGUUUUGAUGAUGUUUUGAUAUACUCCUUGGUAAUUUAUUAUUACAUUUUUUGAAAUAGGAAAAACUUUAGUAAGAAAAUGAUGUUUGUGCUUACUUGAUGUACUUUGAAAAUGUACUUUGUACUUACUUAAUGAGCAAAUCUGUUU